UUACACAUGCAGUCGAACGAUGAUGCCCAGCUUGCUGGGUGGAUUAGUGGCGAACGGGUGAGUAACACGUGAGUAACCUGCCCCUGACUCUGGGAUAAGCGUUGGAAACGACGUCUAAUACUGGAUAUGAUCACUGGCCGCAUGGUCUGGUGGUGGAAAGAUUUUUUGGUUGGGGAUGGACUCGCGGCCUAUCAGCUUGUUGGUGAGGUAAUGGCUCACCAAGGCGACGACGGGUAGCCGGCCUGAGAGGGUGACCGGCCACACUGGGACUGAGACACGGCCCAGACUCCUACGGGAGGCAGCAGUGGGGAAUAUUGCACAAUGGGCGAAAGCCUGAUGCAGCAACGCCGCGUGAGGGAUGACGGCCUUCGGGUUGUAAACCUCUUUUAGUAGGGAAGAAGCGAAAGUGACGGUACCUGCAGAAAAAGCACCGGCUAACUACGUGCCAGCAGCCGCGGUAAUACGUAGGGUGCAAGCGUUGUCCGGAAUUUAUUGGGCGUAAAAGAGCUCGUAGGCGGUUUGUCGCGUCUGCUGUGAAAUCCCGAGGCUCAACCUCGGGCUUGCAGUGGGUACGGGCAGACUAGAGUGCGGUAGGGGAGAUUGGAAUUCCUGGUGUAGCGGUGGAAUGCGCAGAUAUCAGGAGGAACACCGAUGGCGAAGGCAGAUCUCUGGGCCGUAACUGACGCUGAGGAGCGAAAGCAUGGGGAGCGAACAGGAUUAGAUACCCUGGUAGUCCAUGCCGUAAACGUUGGGCGCUAGAUGUAGGGACCUUUCCACGGUUUCUGUGUCGUAGCUAACGCAUUAAGCGCCCCGCCUGGGGAGUACGGCCGCAAGGCUAAAACUCAAAGGAAUUGACGGGGGCCCGCACAAGCGGCGGAGCAUGCGGAUUAAUAUCGAUGCAACGCGAAGAACCUUUACCAAGGCUUGACAUACACCGGAAACGGCCAGAGAUGGUCGCCCCCUUGUGGUCGGUGUACAGGUGGUGCAUGGUUGUCGUCAGCUCGUGUCGUGAGAUGUUGGGUUAAGUCCCGCAACGAGCGCAACCCUCGUUCUAUGUUGCCAGCGGGUUAUGCCGGGGACUCAUAGGAGACUGCCGGGGUCAACUCGGAGGAAGGUGGGGAUGACGUCAAAUCAUCAUGCCCCUUAUGUCUUGGGCUUCACGCAUGCUACAAUGGCCGGUACAAAGGGCUGCGAUACCGUAAGGUGGAGCGAAUCCCAAAAAGCCGGUCUCAGUUCGGAUUGAGGUCUGCAACUCGACCUCAUGAAGUCGGAGUCGCUAGUAAUCGCAGAUCAGCAACGCUGCGGUGAAUACGUUCCCGGGCCUUGUACACACCGCCCGUCAAGUCAUGAAAGUCGGUAACACCCGAAGCCGGUGGCCUAACCCUUGUGGAAGGAGCCGUCGAAG
rnacentral:rRNA from 1 species